GAUAAACGCUGGCGGCGUGCCUAAUACAUGCAAGUCGAACGAAUCUUCUUCGGAAGAUGAGUGGCGAACGGGUGAGUAAUACAUAGGUAACCUGCCCCUGUGCGGGGGAUAACAGGAGGAAACUCCUGCUAAUACCGCAUAGCCAUGAGCACCGCAUGGAGCUCAUGCCAAAUAUCCUUUCGGGGAUAGCGCCGGGAUGGACCUAUGGCGCAUUAGCGGGUUGGGCGGGCAACGGCCCACCAAGGCAACGAUGCGUAGCCGGCCUGAGAGGGCGGACGGCCACAUUGGGACUGAGACACGGCCCAGACUCCUACGGGAGGCAGCAGUAGGGAAUUUUCGGCAAUGGGGGAAACCCUGACCGAGCAACGCCGCGUGAGCGAAGAAGGCCUUCGGGUCGUAAAGCUCUGUUGUAAAGGAAGAACGGCGCAUACAGGAAAUGGUAUGCGAGUGACGGUACUUUACCAGAAAGCCACGGCUAACUACGUGCCAGCAGCCGCAGUAAGAC
rnacentral:rRNA from 1 species